UAUUGCACUUGUCCAAGCCUGU
rnacentral:miRNA from 1 species